rnacentral:tRNA from 1 species
ACAACGGGCGAACAUGUGGGGUGGCGCUGCCCUCCGAAGGUAGAGGCCGCAGGUUCGAAUCCAGUAUGGUUCACCACUUCC